AAGGAGAGCAGGGUGGGGAUAUUUCAGCAAGGCCACAACGCAGAGUGGUGUGAACAAUGGGCAUGGGCUGGCCCACAAGAGCGAUGUUCACGACAGUGCAACAAGCAGAAUUCCUGUCAUGUCAAGAUCACUGUGUUUCCAUGGCCUGGCUGGACAAGUACACUGGUGUUCAUACACUCUUGUGCAGAAUACAUGUCAACAUAGAUAAAUUUUUCAUGAAGAUGUGGACCUCAGGUUUUCACGACACAGCUUCCCUGGCACAGCCUGACUUCAACGAAAAAUAUCAGCAAGAUUCCAUGGUCAUCUGAAGUAAUCCAUCAAGAGCACUGGAAAGCAGACCUCUACUGGACACUUUUAAGUGACGUAAUAUGACAGGCACACAUUGGUAUUCCAAAAAUAAGGCCUUCCCUUCAUCUGUCUUCAA